UAUAGAGGUCUCAAGCGUUGUUCGGAUUCAUUGGGCGUAAAGGGUGCGUAGGUGGCGGGGUUAGUCAGGUGUGAAAUCUCGAGGCUCAACCUUGAAACUGCACUUGAUACUGCCUUGCUCGAGUACUGGAGAGGAGAUUGGAAUUUACGGUGUAGCAGUGAAAUGCGUAGAUAUCGUAAGGAAGACCAGUGGCGAAGGCGAAUCUCUGGACAGUUACUGACACUGAGGCACGAAGGCCAGGGGAGCAAACGGG
rnacentral:rRNA from 1 species